AUUGAACGCUAGCGGGAUGCCUUGCACAUGCAAGUCGAACGGCAGCGCGGACUUCGGUCUGGCGGCGAGUGGCGAACGGGUGAGUAAUGUAUCGGAACGUGCCCAGUAGCGGGGGAUAACUACUCGAAAGAGUAGCUAAUACCGCAUACGCCCUACGGGGGAAAGGGGGGGCUCGCAAGCCCUCUCACUACUGGCGCGGCCGAUAUCGGAUUAGCUAGUUGGUGAGGUAAAGGCUCACCAAGGCGACGAUCCGUAGCUGGUUUGAGAGGACGACCAGCCACACUGGGACUGAGACACGGCCCAGACUCCUACGGGAGGCAGCAGUGGGGAAUUUUGGACAAUGGGGGAAACCCUGAUCCAGCCAUUCCGCGUGUGCGAUGAAGGCCUUCGGGUUGUAAAGCACUUUUGGCAGGAAAGAAAUCGCAUCAAUUAAUACUUGGUGUGGAUGACGGUACCUGCAGAAUAAGCACCGGCUAACUACGUGCCAGCCGCCGCGGUAA
rnacentral:rRNA from 1 species